UACUUCAUUUCCACAUAAUCAGCUUAUAAUAAUAAGUAAUACUCAUAAUAAAUGCUCAAUGACAGUUUCACAAAUGAAUGACUUCUCUUCUCAACGUGUUACAAAUGCCUUUGCUUUCUCUCACCAGGACUAUUACUCCUGUCACCUCUAAGAACCAGGGCUCUCAGAAUACCUUUUCUGGGUGUGAAUCUCAACAUCACCACUUCCUAGUUAUAUGACCUUGACUGUAAAGGAGACUGUUAUGAAGCUGGUUACAUCGCUACCUGGAAUAAAAAGCAACGUUUUCUUCAUAAGAAGAUUGAUUGAUUUAGCGCUUGCCUCUUUCAUAACCAUAAAUCAGGACACUAAGACUGCCAUUAUAAUGAAGGCUAUAGUGGAUCAAAGAGUGACUCCAAAAUUAUGCUUUGUUUUUGCCCUGAAGCCAGUGGUUUCCUUGAAGUAUGUGUAAAAGUAAUUCACUUCAACAUACAAAACUCAGACUGGAAGAGGUUAUGGAGGAGAUCUCAUCUGCAAAGGAGGAGGAGAAAAAGGCAAAGGAAUCUCUCACUUCAAAUGAGAUUAGGGAGAUGUGUCAAAUGUGGGAAAGUACAAAAUUUUGUAGAAAAGCACCCCUGAACAAGGCUGUAGGAGUGUGAGCAAAGAACUGUUCAGUGACAGUGCAAUGUCAUAUUUCCCCAAAAUCCUCAAAAAGGGGCAGCAAGUGUCAUUGGAUAGAUUCCUUGUUAAAGUUGCAUGAAAAGAAAAAAGUUCCAUUGAACAAGGUAGUGAUUCCAUUAGCGAUAGUGAAUGUCAUCUUAUACAGUAACCCUUGUCUUGCUUGUCUCCCUCACACCAGUUAUGAAAGUUUCCAAAGGUAAUUGCAGGUAAAUUUGUUUUUCUUUAUAGUUUGCAUUUUCUUUAUUAUUUUGUAUUAUAUUACAGUAUUGAAAUCAUUUUAUAUGAAUAUUUUUGGAUUAUGGAAUGAAUCAUCUACAUUUCUACUAUCUCUUAUGGGGAAAUUUGCUUUGAUAUACAAGCACUUCAGAUUACAAGCAUGUUUCUGCAAUGAAUCAUGCUCAAAAACCAAGGUUUUACUGUGUAUCUCUUAGACAAGUAAAAGUAAAUAAAUAAAAUGCAAAGUGUAUGCCAUAAAUGAAAAAAUUGAGGAUUAGUAGUGAAACUACUUGACUUCAGAUAUUGAUGUUAAUAUUUAAACUGAUGGAAGGAAGCUCCCCCACCUCCAUCCCAGGCUCCUAGGGCAGCAAGGGUGAGCCGGUCCCAGCACCUGGAAGGAAGCUCUCCCACUGCCAUCCCAGGCUCCUAGGGCAGUGAAGCUGAGCCGGUCCCAGCACCCAGAAGGAAGCUCUCCCACUGCCAUCCCAAACUCCUAGGGCAGAGAAGGUGAGCCACGUGGGCACCAGAAGAACCCCCACCCCCACCCCGUGGAAAUGAGAAGACACAUAAACAAGCCUCAAAAACAGAC
rnacentral:lncRNA from 1 species